rnacentral:rRNA from 1 species
UAAAACCAGCACCUCAAGUGGUCAGGAGGAUUAUUGGGCCUAAAGCAUCCGUAGCCGGCUCUGUAAGUUUUCGGUUAAAUCCAUGUGCUCAACGCAUGGGCUGCCGAAAAUACUGCAUAGCUAGGGAGUGGGAGAGGUAGACGGUACUCGGUAGGAAGGGGUAAAAUCCUUUGAUCUAUCGAUGACCCCUGUGGCGAAGGCGGUCUACCAGAACACGUUCGACGGUGAGGGAUGAAAGCUGGGGGAGCAAACCGGAUUAGAUACCCGGGUAGUCCCAGCUGUAAACGAUGCAGACUCGAUGAUGCAUUGGCAUAUAGCCAGUGCAGUGUCGCAGGGAAGCCGUUAAGUCUGCCGCCUGGGAAGUACGUACGCAAGUAUG